rnacentral:lncRNA from 1 species
AAGACAUCUAUGUUAAAGGGUGGACUAGUUGCUAAAAAUCAGAAGAUCUAUAUCCAGUUGUUUUGACUAUUCCCUAUGAUGCUCAACUGGGAAAGCUGCUCAUCAAAAACUCGCUUUGAAAUGGGACAAAAAAAAGUCAAGAAUGCAAAGUGCACCUCAUCUGAUGCCUUCAUUAUUUUAGAAAAUGAGUGAAGGAUUUCUUCAGCCUAGUGUCCUGACUUUUGUCUACUGCAGAACUAAUUUGAAUAAAUCAAGACAUAAGCAAUCUUAUCA